AUUAUAUAUAGAAUAUAUUCUAUGUCAGUAUUCUAUAUAAAUAUUUAUUUUGUAUAAUUAUAUUAUAGAUUUUCUUUCCUUUUCUGGUCUGUCCUAUUUGCUUUUCCCAAUCAUCAAUUUAGAUCCACAGUAUGUAUUACCUCAUUUUAAAAAGGACAAAUCCUGAUGAAGGCUAGUUUCUAGCUUUACAAAAGGUUCCAUUUUUAUGUUGCGUCACAUUCUCCACUGGCAAAUUUUGAAACUUGAAUUCUUAUUCUCUAGCUUUCCCAUGUUCAUACUUACACCUGUAGUAAUAUACCCUAUCAUUUCUCUUGACCUUUUGGCUACAAUCUUGCUAAUACAGCCUGGGAUGCUUUUGGCUGCCUUUGCUGCAAGGAGCUACUGCUGACUCAUGUUUGACUCAUUGGUCACUAAGACUACCAAGUCCUUUUCUGCACAUUGGAAAUUUAUUCAGAACCUGAUACAUCCCAAAUAUGCUUACUUGUUUGCGUUUGAAUUUUAGAAAUGCCAAGCACCUACAACGUCCAUUGACUUCAAAUGGCCUUCUAAAAGUUGUUCCAGAAAGUCAGGCCCUAAAUUUUUACAAUCCUUAUCAGUCAGUAGGAGAAAGACAGAAAGUUGACAUCCAAUAAAGCAAGAUAGGAACUAAGACUACAGAAGUGACUCUUCAUUUAAAACUCCAAGGAUCUCUACUUUCAACCGUCAUAAUGUCUAAAGUCUUUAUUCACCAACGUGUCCCCUUUCCAUGGGCAUGUGAGAAUUCUUCAUCUGUGCACAUGCAAUGAAAAUAAAAUAAAGAGGCUUCUUGAAGGCCUGGAAACUGCAGGAACCAGUAGAGGUAGAAAUUUGGAUUGUUUGUAAUAUUUAGUUAUCAAUUUCAGGACUUAUUAGUAGAGAAUUUUGUUGGUCAUACAACCUCAGAAAAACUGCUAAACAUCAAAACGAGCUGCAGCUAUGUUAAACAUUGUCAUAUCUUUAAGCUUCUUAACUUUUCUGCUACCUAGCAGGUAAGGUGUGCCAUAGGUGAAAUCACAUGCAAGGCUACACAUUCUUUAUUGGAUCAUGUAAUAGGGAAGCAUCAUGGGAUGACAGAGUAGCAGGGAGUCUGUGGGCACCGGUGACACUGCUUGUUGUGCAUGUCACUUCAAAGACACAUAUACUGCUCUGCUGCAUUAGGGCAGUGCAAGAGUUGCCAGAGAAUUAUCUAUGAGGGCUAAGUGAGUGAGCCAAGUGCAAGUGUGCAAGGGAUGUGCAAGACUUGACUGGUCUUUAUGUUUAAAGGCAUACUCUUUCCUAACUUUUACUUGCUUCCUCGCAGAUAAACUUAGACCUUACAAACAGGACUAUGUGGUUGGGGGAGAGUGAGGAAAAACUGCAAUGUCUUUCCUUCUUUUUCAGUGUUCAAAAGGGAGGAUUUAAUCCUUCCACAAUGAACUACAGAAUGAGGCAGAUCAUGCAGUGAUAAAGUUUGAGUUUAGAAAUCCUUUAUCAUCUGUUUAUGUUAGGUACUCUAUAAAAAGCGUAUCACCAUGGUAUCCAAGCUCUUUCCAAUUAAAGAAAACGAUUUCUACCAUUUACUUAGCAACUUUGACAAUAGCCUUCAGCAGCAUGGAACAACUUGACUGCCUAGCAUUUUACAAGAUAAAUUCUUCACUACUGUCUGUUUUUUCUUGCACUGCUGCUUGCAAAGCCUUAAAAAGUUACUGCUGCUUCAACCACCGAGGCUGGUACCAUUGCACUCACUUGAGCUAUGGAUCACUGGGUACACUUUGUACCUUUACAUGCCACUUUGAGAAAAAUCAAUUUCAGUCUUGAAGAGAUGAAAUUAGUGUUGCAGAAGAUCAGUGCACAUUUCCAGGUGCUUUAGGGCACUGGCGUCUUGAUGGGAAUUCAACAAAACAUGACCUAGGUAUGGAACAAAAUUGCUUACUUUUAUGCUAAGAGAUCUUCUGAAAACAUUACAGAGUAAAUCAGAAUACUGUGAAGAAGGGAAAGUCAAACUAGCUACAGUAAAUACUUGUAUAGUAUUCAUAAUACUAACAUCAAAAUAUACUUUAUGUUACUAACUGUAAGUUACUAUAGGCCAAUAUGUUGUAGGUAUGAUAGAAAAAGAAGAUAAAAAUAAUAUAUAGGUAAAAAUAACAUAACUGAGGCUGAGGAAAAAAAUAGUUUGUGCUUAAAAACUGGCAAAAGUGUUCAAAAGAGUUCUGUCCAGCCAGAGCUUGGUUGUUACCUAUCUUGGAGAUAAUGUCAAAACAGCUGUACAACUGUCUAUCUUUUUCUUCAUUUAUUUUUAAACCUUUGCACUGGCCACGUAAGUCUUCAAAACUUCAGAAAUGGAUCCUAUUAUUUCUUUUGCCUUCUAUAUUUAUAUUCAUAUAAGAAAUUUCAUUUUUAAUUUUGUUUGUAGUUUAGAAAUAUGUAUACUCUCUCCUGUUUUGAAGGACUUGGAUUGCACUUCCAUGGGAUAUUAAUUGUGGUUUCAGUGAGCACAGACUAGAAAUGCUGAGUCCGGAUGAAACAUUCUGUUGAACUUGUAUAAAUAUGCUCUGCCAGAUUGUAUUUAUUAACAUUUUUGAAGGAGUAACUUUGCCUCAGAAGAGUUUUUGCUAGAUCAACUAUCCUCUGUCCGUGAAUAUCUAAUGUAAUACUAGGUCAGGUGUUGCCUGUUUUCCUGAAGCUGAUGUAAGUCAUUUCUGGUAUAACAAAUAAACCAGUAUAUAUAUUCUGUUCUGCACUUGGCUAUCCUGAUGGAUACAUGCAAAUAUAUUGUUCUCUCUAGAGUCAUACCAGCUGAAGCAGUUGCUGCUCCCCUAGCCCAUCUUCUUCUUCACGUCAGUGCUCCCUGUAGAAGAAAGUCUUUAGCAGUGCUGAACCGAAGCACAGAUGACAGAAUAGCUCUGUAACCACAGAAGAGUUCUGACAGAUGUUCUCUAGCAAAACUUGCUGCAACAGUUGGAGAUGGCAUUACCCCAGCUGUCUGUUCCUCCUCUCUGCUGAGAGCAGAGCUGGUUGAAGAUUCAAACCCACUGUACAGCAGUGCUCUCACCUUCCAUUACCUACCACAGUGUGAUCCCAUUGGAAGUGCACAAGGAAGGUCAAGUGGCCUGUUCCCUUUUAUCUGCAGAAAACUGGGACCAGUUGUUGGACAAGAGCUGAAUACCUCUUCCUUCAGCUAUAAAUGGCCUAGUCAGAAAAUCAAGCACUACCAUGGGUACAGAAAAAGGACAAACUUUCCUGGAAGGAUAUGGUACAAACGCUAAGAGUCUUCUUCAGAAACUAAUGAAACUUUGCAAAGCAUCCGAGAUAGACAUAUUUUUGCCUACAGCAUUCAAAAGGCAGAAACUGAAGCAGAGAAGAACUCACAACUGUUCAAAAAGUGGAUGCAUAUGGUCCUCAACAAAUCUUGUAAUACAGUGGAGGAAAACAGUUGUGAUCCCAAAAUUGCUUCUUUUUAUUGUUGUUCACCUUGCAAAGUUUCCUAUAUGAGCUUCAGGCUUUGAUUUUGACCAGAAAGCUUUAGCACCCAUAUCCCUGAGACACUGACUUUCUCCGGUUAAUAACUAUAGCAGCAGUGUGGAAGCUGAGAAAACUAUCACUCCCUACGCUUCACAGAGGAAAGGAACUAUUAGGUAUGUUCUUUCAAAGAAGUGGAUUGUUCUCUCAUACGUUAUUCUGAAAUUUUGCAAAGAAUUUGGUUAUGUGAAAUCGUAUUUCCAGAGUUUUCUGAUUCAUAAAACCAUGCCUUCUAUUUUACGUGAUCUUAAUCUAAAACCAACAAUCUGCAGAACUGUCAUGAAAUAUGCAAUGAUAAGCAAUAAGAGCCUAUUGCUUAUCCACUUAUUAAACACAGAACUUGCCAGCUACUAAGUAAGAGAAUAUGUGCAAAAAUGCCUCUUGACUGUUGGCCAUGGUCAGCAUUUGGAUGCAUUAUUUCCUAAGGUUGU